CAAAGCAGGGAAAGCGGGGGAGGGGUUGACAGGGAUGAUUCGGAAGUGUAGGAUCAAACGGUUGACUCUUUCGGGGAGAAAAAAGCCCUGAAGAGAAAGACGCCCUGUGGAAACGCAGGGAGAGCGUCUCGGAUCAUUGACAACUAAAUAGGAGCAGCAACGUCCAAUUAAAGGGCCCUGAUCACGAAACACAGUAAUAAAAUGAAUCUGGAGAGUUUGAUCCUGGCUCAGAACGAACGCUGGCGGCGUGCCUAACACAUGCAAGUCCAACGUGAAAGGGGAGCAAUCCCCCGGUAGGGUGGC
rnacentral:rRNA from 1 species